rnacentral:rRNA from 1 species
UACAGAGGGUGCGAGCGUUAAUCGGAAUCACUGGGCUUAAAGCGUUCGUAGGCGGAUCUGCAGGCACCUUGUGAAAGCCCCCGGCUCAACCGGGGAACUGCUUGGUGAACCGCAGAUCUUGAGUCAAGUAGGGGUGGUCGGAACGAUAGGUGGAGCGGUGAAAUGCGUAGAUAUCUAUCGGAACGCCAAAGGUGAAGACAGGCCACUGGGCUUGUACUGACGCUGAGGAACGAAAGCGUGGGGAGCAAACGGG